rnacentral:ncRNA from 1 species
AUCGCAAGAACGCGGGCGAUGUGCGGGAUCAGCGGCAGGUUCAAAACCAGCAGAAUGAUGUUGCCCAGCCACAUGGAAAUGAUGACCGACCAAAAGACGUCCGGCUGGUCGAUAUAAAGGCGCGGUCC